GACGAACGCUGGCGGCGUGCUUAACACAUGCAAGUCGAACGGAAAGGCCCUGCUUUUGUGGGGUGCUCGAGUAGCGAACGGGUGAGUAACACGUGAAUAACCUGCCCUUGACUUUGGGAUAACUUCAGGAAACUGGGGCUAAUACCGGAUAGGAGCUCCUGCUGCAUGGUGGGGGUUGGAAAGUUUCGGCGGUUGGGGAUGGACUCGCGGCUUAUCAGCUUGUUGGUGGGGUAGUGGCUUACCAAGGCUUUGACGGGUAGCCGGCCUGAGAGGGUGACCGGCCACAUUGGGACUGAGAUACGGCCCAGACUCCUACGGGAGGCAGCAGUGGGGAAUAUUGCACAAUGGGCGGAAGCCUGAUGCAGCAACGCCGCGUGCGGGAUGACGGCCUUCGGGUUGUAAACCGCUUUCGCCUGUGACGAAGCGUGAGUGACGGUAAUGGGUAAAGAAGCACCGGCUAACUACGUG
rnacentral:rRNA from 1 species